GAGCCUGAGAAACGGCUACCACAUCUAAGGAUGGCAGCAGGCGCGCAAAUUACCCAAUCCUGACACAGGGAGGUAGUGACAAGAAAUAACAAUACGGGGCUUAAUGUCUUGUAAUUGGAAUGAUGGGAAUUUAAACCUCUUCCAGAGUAUCAAUUGGAGGGCAAGUCUGGUGCCAGCAGCCGCGGUAUUUCCAGCUCCAAUAGCGUAUAUUAAAAUUGUUGCAGUUAAAAAGCUCGUAGUUGAAUUUCUGCUGCAUUGCUUUUGCUCCUUUACGAGUCUUUGCAUUGUGGCUUAUUUCGGACUUUGUUUUACAAUGUCCGGAUGUUUACUUUGAGUAAAUUAGAGUGCUCAAAGCAGGCUUUCGCCUUGAAUAGUUUAGCAUGGA
rnacentral:rRNA from 1 species